GGCGCUGUGGCUUAGAGCGACUGUCUAGUAAACAGGAGAUCCGGAGUUCGAAUCUUAGCAGUGCCU